UUUGACAUGGAAUCGACGGCGGCGAUGCGUCGUCGUGGCACCAACCAACGGACGCGAGCUUUGAACAAGAGCGCAAGCGCGGGCCGUUUGACGAGACAGUCGCCGCAGCGGAUACAACACCUCGCUCAAGAGACUGAAGUGGUGGACAGCUUGCUGUGAAAGAUGGAAGCGUUCUUCCUGCAAGUCUGGACAAGGCCAUAUUAAAUGGCUUCAUCUGUCACAAAUCGCUGGCCACGAAUGUAAAGAAUACCUUGGCCCCACUUCUGUCGAGGGAACCGAAGUUGCCUGAACAGAUGAAGAGGGGUGGUGCUACCAAUAGUGAACGACUGUGAUUUUAUAAUGUGCAAGUGUAUGAAAAAUCUUGUUACACUAAUUUAACGUUAAUUGCAUUCAC